GAUGAAGAACGUAGCGAAAUGCGAUAAGUAGUGUGAAUUGCAGAUUUCAGUGAAUCAUCGAAUCUUUGAACGCACAUUGCGCCCCCUGGUAUUCCGGGGGGCAUGCCUGUUCGAGCGUCAUUUCACCACUCAAGCCUCGCUUGGUAUUGGGCAACGCGGUCCGCCGCGUGCCUCAAAUCGACCGGCUGGGUCUUCUGUCCCCUAAGCGUUGUGGAAACUUUCGCUAAAGGGUGUUCGGGAGGCUACGCCGUAAAACAACCCCAUUUCUAAGGUUGACCUCGGAUCAGGUAGGGAUACCCGCUGAACUUAAGCAUAUCAAUAAGCGGAGGA
rnacentral:misc_RNA from 1 species